rnacentral:rRNA from 1 species
GACGAACGCUGGCGGCGUGCCUAAUACAUGCAAGUAGAACGCUGAAGCGAGGAGCUUGCUCUUCUUGGAUGAGUUGCGAACGGGUGAGUAACGCGUAGGUAACCUGCCUUGUAGCGGGGGAUAACUAUUGGAAACGAUAGCUAAUACCGCAUAACAAUGGAUGACACAUGUCAUUUAUUUGAAAGGGGCAAUUGCUCCACUACAAGAUGGACCUGCGUUGUAUUAGCUAGUAGGUGAGGUAAUGGCUCACCUAGGCGACGAUACAUAGCCGACCUGAGAGGGUGAGCGGCCACACUGGGACUGAGACACGGCCCAGACUCCUACGGGAGGCAGCAGUAGGGAAUCUUCGGCAAUGGGGGCAACCCUGACCGAGCAACGCCGCGUGAGUGAAGAAGGUUUUCGGAUCGUAAAGCUCUGUUGUAAGUCAAGAACGGGUGUGGGAGUGGAAAGUUCACACUGUGACGGUAGCUUACCAGAAAGGGACGGCUAACUACGUG